UACAGAGGUCUCAAGCGUUGUUCGGAUUCAUUGGGCGUAAAGGGCGCGUAGGCGGGCUGUCCAGUCUGGGGUGAAAUCCCGCGGCUCAACCGUGGAACUGCCUCAGAUACUGACGGCCUCGAGGGAGAUAGGGGCAUGCGGAACUGUAGGUGGAGCGGUGAAAUGCGUUGAUAUCUGGAGGAACACCGGUGGCGAAGGCGGCGUUCUGGACUGCUACUGACACUGAGGAACGAAAGCCAGGGGAGCAAACGGG
rnacentral:rRNA from 1 species